rnacentral:rRNA from 1 species
GCAAUUAUACCGUGAAACUGCGAAUGGCUCAUUAAAUCAGUUAUCGUUUAUUUGAUAGUACCUUACUACUUGGAUACCUGUGGUAAUUCUAGAGCUAAUACAUGCUAAAAACCCCGACUUCGGAAGGGGUGUAUUUAUUAGAUAAAAAACCAAUGCCCUUCGGGGCUCCUUGGUGAUUCAUAAUAACUUCUCAGAUCGCAUGGCCUUGCGCCGGCGACGGUUCAUUCAAAUUUCUGCCCUAUCAACUUUCGAUGGUAAGGUAUUGGCUUACCAUGGUUUCUACGGGUAACGGGGAAUUAGGGUUCGAUUCCGGAGAGUUAGCCUGAGAAACGGCUAACACAUCCAAGGAAGGCAGCAGGCGCGCAAAUUACCCAAUCCUGAUACAGGGAGGUAGUGACAAUAAAUACUGAUACAGGGCUCUUUUGGGUCUUGUAAUUGGAAUGAGUACAAUUUAAACCUCUUAACGAGGAACAAUUGGAGGGCAAGUCUGGUGCCAGCAGCCGCGGUAAUUCCAGCUCCAAUAGCGUAUAUUAAAGUUGUUGCAGUUAAAAAGCUCGUAGUUGAACCUUUGGCCUGGCUGGCGGGUCCGCCUCACCGCGUGCACUUGUCCGGCCGGGCCUUUUCUUCUGGAGAACCGCAUGCCCUUCACUGGGUGUGUUGGGGACCAGGACUUUUACUUUGAAAAAAUUAGAGUGUUCAAAGCAGGCCUUUGCUCGAAUAUUACAGCAUGGAAUAAUAAAAUAGGACGUGCGGUUCUAUUUUGUUGGUUUCUAGGACCGCCGUAAUGAUUAAUAGGGACAGUCGGGGGCAUCAGUAUUCAAUUGUCAGAGGUGAAAUUCUUGGAUUUAUUGAAGACUAACUACUGCGAAAGCAUUUGCCAAGGAUGUUUUCAUUAAUCAGUGAACGAAAGUUAGGGGAUCGAAGACGAUCAGAUACCGUCGUAGUCUUAACCAUAAACUAUGCCGACUAGGGAUCGGGCGGUGUUAUUAUUUUGACUCGCUCGGCACCUUACGAGAAAUCAAAGUGUUUGGG